UUCGCUGGCGGCGUGCCUAAUACAUGCAAGUCGAGCGGACAGAUGGGAGCUUGCUCCCUGAUGUUAGCGGCGGACGGGUGAGUAACACGUGGGUAACCUGCCUGUAAGACUGGGAUAACUCCGGGAAACCGGGGCUAAUACCGGAUGGUUGUUUGAACCGCAUGGUUCAGACAUAAAAGGUGGCUUCGGCUACCACUUACAGAUGGACCCGCGGCGCAUUAGCUAGUUGGUGAGGUAACGGCUCACCAAGGCGACGAUGCGUAGCCGACCUGAGAGGGUGAUCGGCCACACUGGGACUGAGACACGGCCCAGACUCCUACGGGAGGCAGCAGUAGGGAAUCUUCCGCAAUGGACGAAAGUCUGACGGAGCAACGCCGCGUGAGUGAUGAAGGUUUUCGGAUCGUAAAGCUCUGUUGUUAGGGAAGAACAAGUGCCGUUCAAAUAGGGCGGCACCUUGACGGUACCUAACCAGAAAGCCACGGCUAACUACGUGCCAGCAGCCGCGGUAAUACGUAGGUGGCAAGCGUUGUCCGGAAUAUUGGGCGUAAGGGCUCGCAGGC
rnacentral:rRNA from 1 species